UACGAAGGGGGCUAGCGUUGCUCGGAAUCACUGGGCGUAAAGCGCACGUAGGCGGAUCUUUAAGUCAGGGGUGAAAUCCUGAGGCUCAACCUCAGAACUGCCUUUGAUACUGGAGAUCUUGAGUCCGGGAGAGGUUAGUGGAACUGCGAGUGUAGAGGUGAAAUUCGUAGAUAUUCGCAAGAACACCAGUGGCGAAGGCGGCUAACUGGCCCGGUACUGACGCUGAGAUACGAAAGCGUGGGGAGCAAACAGG
rnacentral:rRNA from 1 species